AACGAACGCUGGCGGCGUGGCUAAGGCAUGCAAGUCGAACGGAUUUACUCAACGGGUAACUGGAGGGUAGGUCAGUGGCGAACGGGUGAGGAAUUCAUGGAUAACGUGCCCCGGACUCAGGGAUAGCGUUGUGAAAACGACGGUAAUACCUGAUGACCCCAUAGGACCGCAUGGUCUCGCGGGCAAAGCUCCGACGGUCCGGGAGCGAUUCAUGUCCUAUCAGCUAGUUGGUGAGGAACGGCCCACCAAGGCAACGACGGGUAUCGGGCGUGAGAGCGUGACCCGACACAUCGGAACUGAGAUACGGUCCGGACACCUACGGGUGGCUGCAGCAACGAAUAUUCCGCAAUGG
rnacentral:rRNA from 1 species